AGCAGUAGGGAAUCUUCCGCAAUGGACGAAAGUCUGACGGAGCAACGCCGCGUGAGUGAUGAAGGUUUUCGGAUCGGAAAACUCUGUUGUUAGGGAAGAACAAGUACCAGAGUAACUGCUGGUACCUUGACGGUACCUAACCAGAAAGCCACGGCUAACUACGUGCCAGCAGCCGCGGUAAUACGUAGGUGGCAAGCGUUGUCCGGAAUUAUUGGGCGUAAAGCGCGCGCAGGCGGUCCUUUAAGUCUGAUGUGAAAGCCCACGGCUCAACCGUGGAGGGUCAUUGGAAACUGCGGGACUUGAGUACAGAAGAGAAGAGUGUAAUUCCACGUGUAGCGGUGAAAUGCGUAGAGAUGUGGAGGAACACCAGUGGCGAAGGCGACUCUUUGGUCUGUAACUGACGCUGAGG
rnacentral:rRNA from 1 species